AAGGCGAGCAAGCCGAUGGGCUUUUGCUGCGGCCCUGUGCUUCCCGAGCGCUUUCAGGCCAGCGUGUUUGAUCUUGUGAGCCGCCGGUGAGCAAUCGCGGGUGCAUUGCGCGAGGAGCAACGUGUGAAGCGCUGCGGCUUGCAGGUGUCGAUACCGAUCUCAAAUCCGUUGUGCUCCCUGGUGUUUGAGUAAAUAACGCACGGGCAGAUAGUUUGCACCUCUUAGGCUGUGUCUGUGGUACUUUCUCAGGCAGUCGCUGCCAUCCACGCCUUCUGUGAUUCUUCUCCCUGCCUUGUUUUUCUAGAUCUAAAAGUAUAGAACAACAGUUAUGCAGUCGUUUUAAUCUGUCAAGUCCAUGUUGUUCCCAAAAUGAGUCCUGUUGCCAGAGCGACUGUUCUUACCCUGUUUAAGAGCACCCAGUUACGUAAGUCUGUCCUUCCUCUGCAAGGCCUGGCUUUCCCUUAAUACCCACUGCUGGCCUUGCCAGUGUUUGUGUGGUGGUAAGGGUACGCCGGGAAAACAGCCUGUCAGAGGACUACUCUGCGAGGGAGCUGAAUCAGUCCUCUGAGCUGCGUUUCCAUGUGGGCGUAAAAAUCCAAGUGUGGGCACAAAGGAGGGAAUGGUUACAAAGGGCAGCGUAGGCCCUUGUAGGAGAGGCACGGAAACUCUUCACGUGAAAGCGAUUAAAUAGUUAAUCACCUCAGGUCAUGGUUCGGGGACAGUUUAGGAUAACCUAGUAGUUGCACUUCUACCCCUCACCGCCCCAUACAAAACCUUGUCUUCCAAAGCUCUGGCACUUCUCUGAUGGCACAGUGAGCUCGAGUAAAGAAGCUAAUCGAUAGAAACUUAAUGGAUGUUGACACAGAAGCAUCAACCUUAAGAUGAGUGGCUGUCGUGUCUUCGUUGGACACUUAAGCUCACGCGCUCGGGAACGGGAUGUGGAGAAAUUCUUUAAAGGAUAUGGACGCAUACGAGAAAUCCAUCUUAAAAAUGGAUUUGGAUUUGUGGAAUUCGAAGACCACAGGGAUGCUGAUGAUGCAAUUUAUGAACUAAAUGGUAAAGAGCUGUGUGAUGAAAGGGUUACAAUUGAGCAUGCUCGAGCCCGAAGAGGAAGGGGCAGAUUCCCACAACGGUUCAGUUAUUACCAGUCGCAGAGUGGAUCUAGCCGGUAUGGACCUCCUGUUCGUACUGAACACAGGAUCCUAGUUGAAAACCUUUCAUCCCGUAUCAGCUGGCAGGACUUAAAAGAUGUCAUGAGAAAGGCAGGGGAGGUCACCUAUGUGGAUGCACACAGAAACAACAGGAAUGAAGGGGUUGUGGAAUUCGCGUCUUACAGUGAUAUGAAGAGUGCACUGGAAAAAUUGGAUGGCACUGAGCUGAAUGGACGCAGAAUUAAACUGACUGAAGAUCACAGAAGGCAUAGAAGCAGAUCUCGAUCAAGGAGUUACUCAAGAUCUCGCAGCAGGUCCAGGUCUACAGGAUCUUCCAGAUCGGACAGCCGGUCCAGGUCAAGAUCAAGGUCCAGGUCCAGGUCUCGCUCUCGAUCCCGGUCCCGAUCUCGAUCCAGUCUUCCCUUGCAGCUUUGUGUGACUCCUCCUUGUCUACCGGUUCAACAAAAGAACCAACAACAGCCAAAUGGCCAUGGGUGUUGGAAUCUUCCUGUAGGUAAAAUAGUUUUCACUUUUGAGUUACGGUAUGGUUCCAGAGAUUCAUAUAUCGCCCAUGCUACUUUUGUGCAUUUAAGGCUUCAACGCUGACACCCUCUCUAGAGCAAGUUACUGCUGAUUGUGUUCUUUGCACGUUUGGCUUGAUGUGAUCUGAAUGUGCCAACAGUUCAGAAGGAACACGAGGAACAAAUAGAAACCACUUUGCAGAGGAGUCUUACUAGAUGUGACUGUUGGGAAAGCUGGGGUACGCUCAGCUGUGUUAAAUGUCAGUGUUGUUUGCUUUGUUAAAUUUGUUACGCUACCAAAAAGACUCCCAAAAAUGGCCACUGCCAGCCUAGUACCUUUGAGAUUGGCAAGCGCAGUAUCAGAGACCGUGAAUGCUUCUGACCAGAGCAUGCUUACCUGGCAAAUUGUUUAAAUGUAGAGCUAAUGUAGAUCCUGUGAAUUUUAGUAAUUCUUGAAUUCUUUAUUGUAUCACGUCAUUUCCCUUCCAUAAUUUGCUGUUGAUUCAGUCAGUAGUGGCAACAGUAAGAUGAAUGUAGACCAAAGAACCAGCCUCCCCUUUGCCCCCGAACACCUUGAUGUUAUAAGCAAGUUUAUAAUCGUCGUUGUGAUGGCAACCGUAAAUAAAUACAGCUUAUUUCUGAACCUAGAGCCUGGUCUACCCAUAGAUUUGUGUUGCUAUUAAUACUGGUUAGAAGUACAUUUUUUUUUAAACUUAUUUUAAAUAGUACGAUCUAACUGAUAGUGUUUUAGUGUUGAAACACCUAUGACAGCAUUUCUUUUCUGUGCUGGCGUAGUAGGGGUUUCAACAUCUUUGCCAGCACAGCUGCAUCCAAGUUAACUGUAGUACUGGUUUCUAAAUGUAGCAACAGGUAACUGAUGACUGGAGAUUGUAGGGUGGUGUUACCAAUGCAAUGUCACACGAUGGAAAUAGACUUCUCACUAAUUUUUUUUACAUGUUUUUCAAGCUGGCGAGCAGUGGUUCCUUGUUCCCUAAGAUACACAAAGGUGUUUAGUUGAGGAAAAGGUGAGCUUUUGAAAUACCGAGAAUACUAAAUCUGAUCUUCCUCUGGGGAAAGAUUUGUUUAUGGUAGAUGUGAACUUGGCAGCUUUCUCAAUAUUUAUUUGAAGGGCAAGGAUAGGAAUCUUUAGCAGCUAAAACGUUUUCUUAAUGGAGAGGUUGAGUCCUUGGUUACUCAGCUCCUAGUUGUUUCUUUUGGUAUAUUAAUUUUGGUGCCUGGAUAAACAAUGGAUUUUGAAGCCCAAAUUUUUAUUAUGCAUGUAACUUCUUGUCCAUAGCUUUUUCAGUGUCAAAAAAAGCUUAAGCCCUAAAAUGUACGUGGGGGAGAAGUCGGAAGGGUGGUCUGAUUUCCACCCUCACCCCCUCCCCCCAUUUCCUGCUGUGUCACCACAUUUUUUUUCUUUUUUUCUUCCAGAGGACAACUAUGAAUAGCAGGAUUUCUUUCUGCCUUUAGGAAGAAAAAAGCCCCCAAACCUCAAAACUAUCCUAUCAGGAAGUUCUAACAGUUUUGAGCAGGUUUCAGAGCAGUACAGCCCUGUUUGCCACAUGGUAGAGUUGGAAAUGAAAACUACAUUUUUCACUGGGGUUUAAAGUUUUCACCUUACCUGAUACGUAAAAUAAGCUACAGCUGUGUACACUUAAUUGCUUUGACGAAGGAUAACUCAUUGGGCCACUCUAAGCUGGUCAUGUCUGACCUCAACUUGGAGCAAACCCAAUCUGAAAUUUGUAGUUUCAGGGCAUGUGAGUUGGUGCAGAGGGGUUAAAAGGACAGUUCAGUGGCCUGAAUAAAAUACUUGCUUGGUGGUCAGCAAGUGUAGAAAAGUCUUGAGAGGGAAGAGGAGUGACUGGGGUAGACAGAAGCUGUGAAGGGGGAAAAAAAGGACAGGAGGGAGUUUUGAGUUUUGACAGGUGUCAGUUUCAGUGUCAGAGGCUGGUAUUGAUAGACCACAGAAGGGAAUACAACCUUUAUACUCAUGAUAACAAUUCAAAUUUGUGAUCUUGAGAUAAACAAAUUGGGGAACGCACAUGCUUGUUUGUUUUGCUUAAAAAUAUUUGGUGUUAUGCUGAAGAGCUAAAGAAAACUGAAGCGGUACCUGUGUUCCUGUGAGAAGAUACUAUCUACGAGUCAGGCAGCAUGUUCCAACAUCUGACACUUUCCAUGAGAAAGCUGGGAAUCAUCCCUUCCAACUGGCAGAGAGCUGCUGCUCCCAGCCCUGCA